UUCUGUCACUGCGAGUCGCAGUCAAUACGGCUAGCCACUGUCUGCUGCUGACCUCUGCCCAAGAACAUGCCUUCUCCCCAGACUCUUUCUUUCUUGUUACAUCUUCUCCUCUUCUUGAAGAUAUUCUGCUUUGGUGCUAUGAGGAAGAGAAGAAAAGCGAUUUAUUUAUGAAAAUUGAACUGCCUUCGAAAGUGCGCUACUGAUUGCAAUCCCUGACCACAACAGACUGCUUCCCCCUUAAAAUACACAAGCAGUAGAAAAUGAGGUACAAAGAAAACUAAUUCCUAAUGAAACUGUAUGGUAUUAACUGCACCUUGUAGUAAAAGAAAUCAGAAUUCAGCAUACCAAAGAAAAUGCUAUACAUUUCCAGUGAAAUCAGAAGUAAAAUGAUGAACAUUCACACUGCACAAUGUUUGUAUUGUUUGCUCCAAUUACUCUCACAAAGAAAUACGACAGACCACUUGACCUUCUAAGAUACCCUUCCUUUCUCUCUUCACAUUGAAGAUACUCUAUACUCUGCACUCUAACCUUCAGGUAAAAACUUUCUGCCAAAGGACAAACUUCAGAUAAAUAUCAAAUAUUAAUAUACCUAACGAAAUUCCUCAUACGGACUCUUCCAAGUAAGAAACCAUCACCGAUACCAGGAAAGUGGACUCUCUUCUGCUCCCUGCCUUCCGCUUACACAGGAAAGCCCAUAGACAUUGCCAAUAUUUUGCAAGCCACAGCCCCUGACCGAAAUCAUUUAAAAAUGAAAAUACAAAGGGAAGCCAAUCAGAAAAUAUUUAGUAACAUGGAAUUACAUCUUCAAUCAACUCCCUUCUCUGGGAUGCUCAGCAAGCCAAGCCCUCUUUGUGUCUGCUUUCUGGAGUAUGACUUCACUGGAGCAGAAAUUUCCUUUUUGUUUUGUGUGCAGCACAAGACACAAAUGUUGACGGUACUUUGCAAAUAAAAGAUUGCAGCAGAACAUGAACUCUAAGAAAGUGAUCACAGAAGUAAUUUGAUGAACCUAAAACUUUGUUUCUAGAAUAUAGCUUGGGAUUUUUUUUAAGUGCCAAAAUACUUAAAAAGAAAAAAAUAACCUUGUAUGAGUUUACUUAAAUAAAAAAGAAAGUGAUUAUAUAAUCAUA